UCCAGUCAAGGAGGAGGAGCCAGAGGAAGGAAUGGCGUAUGAGGAGCUGGGAGCCAGAGACACAAGGAACUAAGAACUGAGAGGGUGUACUACUGGAGGAUUGAGGAAAUACCAUACAAUCAAGCAAUAUCAGACACAAGGAGGAUCCUAUGGCAUAAGGGGGCAGCGUGACCCUUCACCCUCAGUUCCUUUGCUGUCCACAGUUUCCAGAGGAAUCUCUGAGCUGCAAGGAUGGAAGAUGGGUUGUGGGAUCCAUGAACACAGAACAUCUCAAAGAGCAACAGUUUAUAUUGUAUAAGGUUUCCAGCUGCUUUUCAACUGCUCUGUUAACCUGUGAGCCAGCCAUCAGUCUCAGAAAGCAUGGAUCCUGCACUGCUCUUCAGUCAUGUGCUGUGUGUUAUGAACACAAGGCGAUAGGAGGAGCUCCAUGGGGGCACAUUCACCGCCAUCCUGACCCCAGCCCGCUCCUCAUAGAAGCAGCACGUCUGCGGCUCCGCCCCAGAGUGACUAUUUGCCUCCCUUGCCUCCUGCUAUGCUUGCCGCAGCUCUCUGAGUUUUACACAGCACUGCUGCGUGUCCCUAUCAUAGCCCUUCCCCUCCAUGCCCUAAGCAAGUCCCUGCGGCUGGAGUGGAGCUGUGCCUGCAAAGCUUCCUCUCCCCACAGACCCAGAAGAUUCACCACCACCUCCCGUGUACUCCAGGCAGGAGCACGUUUGCUGCACGGAGCCCAGGCUCAGCUGGGCAGUUGCUAUGUGAGCUCUCUACACCAAGCAAACAGGAAGAGCAAGUUCUAAACUUCCUGGGGCUUAACAGGGAAGGGGCAUUCAUCUGUGUACCUGGCUUCUGGGCAGCGGAGCUUGAACUGGUGACCAGAGCAGUCAUGGAGUGCAUUGUGGGAUACCUCCUGAAGGCCAUUUACAUCGACAUAAAUAAAGCAGGGUCUAUGCUGACACUGUGUCGCUCUAACUACGUCACCCUAGGCUCUCUGCCGCUCGUCGAGGUGGUUUUACAAUGUCAGCGUAGCAGGAGGAGCACUGCAGUGUGUACAAGCUGCUUUAUGUCAACAAAACUGUGUAGUGUGGACACGGACUACAGCUGCUUGAAGAGAGGUUCUGGCAGUGAGCUGACCUGAGCAAAUUUAAUUCAACUCAUCCAACUGCUGCUGUGUCCCACUGACUGUAACUAUAUUUGGUCACCAUGCGGCUCGCAAUUCUAACCAGAAAAGAAGCUGAAGGAUACACCUUAUGACCCGAACAUCUAAUACAGAGGUCUCAAACUCAAUUAACCUUAGGGCCAGUGCCAGUCCUCAAAUCCUCCCAGUGGGCCAAUAAUGUCAUUGAAGAUGGUGUUCAUGCCACCUCCCAGCCCAUUUUCCACCCUUUUCCCUCGCUCCCUUGGCCUCAUGCCACCCCAGCUGACUCUGCCCUCACAGAGACAGGUGCUAAAUACUAUGAGGAGUUUUCCCAGCUGUCCAAAGGCAGAUCCAUGAACUGGGAUGUCUUCAUCUGUCCUUUAUCCGGCUACAUGGGGCACAGACUACACCCACCAUGCUCACAGCUUCAGGACACGUGAAGAAUCACACAUAUUCAUUUCAGACACAGUAGAAGAAACUAGCAAGAAACCCUUGGGAAACCCAUCCUGUC